CUUUCACCCAGACAGACCUGGACCAUAUCCGGUAUAGACCAUCCCCUUUCACCCAGACAGACACAGACCAUAUCCAGUAUAGACCACCCCCUUUCACCCAGACAGACCUGGACCAUAUCCAUUAUAGACCACCCUCUUUCACCCAGACAGACCCAGACCAUAUCCAGUAUAGACCACCCCCUUUCACCCAGACAGACCUGGACCAUAUCCGGUAUAGACCACCACCCUUUCACCCAGACAGACCUGGACUAUAUCCGGUAUAGACCACCCCCUUUCACCCAGACAGACCUGGACCAUAUCCAGUAUAGACCACCCACUUUCACCCAGACAGACCUGGACCAUAUCCAGUAUAGACCACCCCCUUUCACCCAGACAGACCAGGACCAUAUCCGUUAGAGACCACCCCCUUUCACCCAGACAGACCCAGACCAUAUCCGUUAGAGACCACACCCUUUCACCCAGACAGACCAGGACCAUAUCCGUUAGAGACCACCCCCUUUCACCCAGACAGACCCAGACCAUAUCCGUUAGAGACCACACCCUUUCACCUAGACAGACCUGGACCUUGUCCCAGAUAGACCAUGAGGAAAUCUGCAGAUGCUGGAAAUUUAAGCAACACACACAAUAAAUGGUGGAUCGCAGGACUGACGAAAGGUCUCGGCCGAAAACGUCGACAAUGCUUCUUCCUAUAGAUGCUGCCUAGCCUGCUGCGUUCCAUCAGCAUUUUGUGUGUGUCGCAGUAUAGAUGUACAGAAGAAUCUUGGGUGCAGUCUACAACUCCAUGAAUUCAAAUGUACGUUAAUCACCACCUAGGAUUUCUUCCAAUAAUUCUCCAACCACUACUAGUCUCACUGAGAUAUCCCUGCUGGCCUUCUAAGGUCUCCUGUGACGUAUGAUGUGGAGGUUGGUGGAAAACAGAGCAAGACAAUGGACAAGCCUUUAAAGGGGAAUAAAUAGACAAGAUACUGAAGCUCAUGUAUUCUAUAUUUCAAAGCUGUACUUUCUGUUCUAAUUUGAAAGAUCUCCCAGUUAAAUUCUGGGAAGAAUACUUUGAGAAGAUAAAAGCUUUUAUAUAUAUGGCUCUGCAUUCCCUCUGCUGACUUUUUGCUUGGCUUUAAAAGGGAGUUGCACUCAGUCCUCAGCUACAGCAAAUAGCCAGAAGUUAGUCAAAUAAAUACAUUUUAAGGAUCAUCUUUAAAAAAAAAUAAUUGGAAAUGUUUAAAAGGAAUUCCAAAGUUUGAACAAAAACUAAUGGUAGAGCAAUUAAAUACAGAGAUGACCAAGGGACUAGAAAUUAGUCAUCUUUUAAACUUAAACCACUUUUGAUCAGUUGGAACACUUCUUUCCCACUGCCAUCAGGUUCUUGAACUGACCUAAAAGCACUAAUUCAAAUUCAAAUUACAUUUCCCUCCGCUUCAUUUAAAAUCAUAUUUACUUUUGUCUUGUUUUGUUGUGAAAGAUAUAGAUGAUUAUGUAAUUUAUAUUUGUCAUACUAGAAAUGGCAUUUAGCCUCUGGGUAUGCAUGCACAAGACAAACAACUUGAACUUGAUGGGUGAAAGGGGCUCAUGGGCAGCAGAUUAGCUCAAGUUUAAGACAGCAAAAGAAGUAGGGCAAUCAGAAAUGCACUCCAAUAGUCAAGCCUAAAGGCAAGGAAGACAAAAUGUUAACAGUACAGGCCAGUAGCUAAGAUUAAACAGUAGGCUAAUUUAGCUUAACCAGACAUUCCAUUCAUUUCUAUUAGUUCAAGAACUAAGACCAGGCUAAAAUAUUGCAAUUUAUUGGGGAUGUAUUUUUCAUUUAAUCCGUUUUAAAAUUAAAGGUAAAGUCAUGAAUGUUUAGACUUUACAGACCAUCACUUCUAACUGGAAUUUAUAA